rnacentral:rRNA from 1 species
GACGAACGCUGGCGGCGUGCUUAACACAUGCAAGUCGAACGAAAUGGCGAACGGGUGAGUAAUACGUGAGGAACCUGCCCUCCUUUUUGGGAUAAGCCUUUGAAACGGGGUCUAAUAACGAAUAAAGGGGGAUGGGCCCGCGGGCUAUAAGCUUGUUGGUGGGGUGAUGGCCUACCAAGGCGGUGACGGGUUGCGGGCCGGGGGGGGUGACCGGCCACAUGAGGACUGGGAUACGGCCCAGAGGGCUACGGGAGGCGGGAGUGGGGGAUAUUGGACAAUGGGCGAAAGCCGGAUGCAGCGACGCGGCGUGGGGGAUGACGGCUUUCGGGUUGUAAACCUCUUUGGCGAUCGAAGCGGUAGGUGGAGAAGAAGCACCGGCUAACUACGUGCCAGCAGCCGCGGUAAUUC